UACGUAGGCAGCAAGCGUUGUUCGGAGUUACUGGGCGUAAAGAGUGUGUAGGCGGUUUUCUAAGUUCCGUGUGAAAUCUCCCGGCUUAACUGGGAGGGUGCGCGGAAAACUGGAGAGCUGGAGUAUGGGAGAGGAAAGCGGAAUUCCUGGUGUAGCGGUGAAAUGCGUAGAUAUCAGGAGGAACACCUGCGGUGUAGACGGCUUUCUGGACCAUCACUGACGCUGAGGCGCGAAAGCGUGGGGAGCAAACAGG
rnacentral:rRNA from 1 species